rnacentral:lncRNA from 1 species
UUGCAUGUAGAACAAAGUUCCUCAGCUGACAUUAAUGAUGGGGACAGUGGAACAGUCCCAUUUAUGCAAGAAACUCUUUGAAAAUUUAUCAUCUUCCCAGAAAUUCUAUCCUGUAAUGCUUCAAACUCCCUAUCUGCAAGAGCUUUUCUGUGAUCCUAACAGAACUUAACAAAAUCGAGUAAAAUUGAAGUCAUUACAUGACCGACACAAUCAUACAAUGAUGCAGUAGUGCAAUCAGACAAAAAAGAAACAGAACAUUGCAUGGAAAGUGAACAAGGAACUAGUAAAAACUAAACAGGAAUUUAAAACUCGGCCGGUGGGGGAAAGACCGCCCCCACGGUAUUGUACUUAAGAGAGAAGGUCUCAGUACCCCGACCGAGAAAACCCCCGAACCCCCGCCCCAUCCGUACACAGGGAGACGUAACCCUGGGGUGUGGGCCGAUCUCUUUACCUGUGCUUUGGCCUGAGGCGAGCGAGGGGAUAUUUUUAACCACAGCCUGAAAUUCGCUCUCACGGGGAUUCAAACUCAGGACCUGUGGAGUGCCGCUCGAGUGUCUUAGCCACUAGACCAAGCACCCUUUGGCACUAAACAGGAAUUUACAUCAUGCACAAUAUGGUAUUUUUUAUAAAGGAAGGAUUUUAUUAAUUCACAAUCAUUACAUCGAGUUGAUACAAUAAUCGUAAGCCUCUGCAUAAAAGCACACAGCCUAAACAAAACAACAAUAAGGUAUUGAAGUCAUGAUUCACUUCCUGCACAAUAUUGUAUUGUUUUCAACAAGAAAUCUUGUUUCACCUAACAACCAAAAUAGACCUGACCAGAGGAGUGUGAUUUCCAGCAAAGAAUCUAUCUAUUAGUGAGAUAGACAAUCAAUUUUAAUCCCUUUCUUUUCCCAAAUAAUGUUGGUUAACCACCAACCACCAUGGCCUGGCCCUAAAUCCAUCGGAAGUGCCUCCUCCUCAUCUUCUUCAUCUUGGGCUGAGCUCCCAUGCCGGCACCGCCUCCUGCCAAGCUUCGGUGCCCCACCACAUCCGCCGCUGCCGCUGACCGCCACUGCUGCUGCUGCCGCCAGGCUGUCUCAUUGCCCCCCUGUCCUUGCCCCGCCCAACCGCCUUACCCCUUCCCACACUGCCUGGACAGCGGCGCCACCGCUGCCUCACCCCCACGCCGCAUCCACACCCGCAGCUACCACCGGGCCAGCCUUCUCCCCAGCAAUCCUUGUAAGCCCGCCGGAUUCACAUAAGUACCCAAAUCCUAAACCUGACUGUAACAUUGCCAGAGUUAGGAAAGAAGACAACGUGUCAUUCUUGGAAUCGGCAGAAAAAUUCAAUUGAGAGGAAGCCUUGAAUCGGUGAAGAUUAGCUUUACUCUUUCUUUAACAAAACUUCCAUUAAGAUUAGGAUGCGCUCCGCAUGCUCGUUCAUAACUUGCGGCUAGAAAUGAGCGCAGCUGUGGUAUUGUGGCAAUGUAACUGUGGCAUGACAGAACAAAAGCCGUAGUCUGAAACGGAAAAAAAUUCUCUGCACCACCGCCGCACAGAGAAGCAGUGGCGAAUCCAGAAACGGACCAUGAGGGGGGCUAAAUAACAUAGGCUAUUUUUUUUUUGUUUGCUCAAUACAGUACACUAAUAGAUAUAGCUAAGAUUGAUAAUUCAAUAUUGAUUUAAAGUGUUCAAAGGCAAAGAUUCGUAGAAUAAGCAUAGAAAAAUACCAAAUAUAUAGAAUCUUUUGCAAAAAAAAAAAGAAACCUGUUAAAAGAUUUUUGAGUCCAAGAGGGGGGCUGCAGCCACCCCAGCCCCCCCUGUGUCCGCCAAUGCAGAGAAGCACAUACGGCAUGGCCUCAUUGCGCCACACGUGUUCCCUGGCCCCACCCACCGUCCCACACCACUCAAGGCCAAUAAGCUGAAGUCAUCUCGCUGGUGGGCGGGUGGGCCUUCAACACGCGUCCCUGGCCCCACCCACCGUCCCACACCACUCAAGGCCAAUAAGCUGAAGUCAUCUCGCUGGUGGGCGGGUGGGCCUUCAACACGCGUCGUCCAUCUAACGGGCCAGCAGGACACGCGUCAUCCAUCUAAACCGUGCCGCAGCAGGAUCAGGGUGUGCGGCGGUGCUGCAUAAAAUUUUGUUCUGUCCGAAACAGGUAAAACGCCUAUGAUGAUGUGAGUGUGACAAGAGCAUUUAGAACAUAACUUGGGAAACUGAAACUUACUAAUCACACACCAAUUUACAACACCUGGGCCCGUUUAGUUCCCCAUUUGAGCCAAAAAAAUUUAGGUUUUCGCCCACUAUUCUGCAUAAUGGAGCUAAACACCAUCCAAAUUUUUUUGUCAAAAUAGUUGUCAUUUUUUAUUCUGAAUUUUGGCCUCAAGAGCCAAAAAAAAAAGCCCAAAAGGGCCUGGGACCUCAUGCCAGCCUUUACUACCCCUGAAAAUUUAUGUUGCAAUUCUGCAUUUUGGAUGCAACUAAACUUAACCUGAAAAUUUUGGCAUUUUUCAUUUCACCGUUCCAAAGUAGUUGCAAUAUAUAUUUCACGAGAUUCUUCCAAACUAAGACCAAAUCACACAAUUGGAUUCAUUCAACCUACCGAACACUUCAAGGGCUAAUCAAUCUAGUCGUCCAGUUCCUCCACACUUGCCGACUAAGAAACCAUAGAGCCAAGAACAGCCUCGCGAUCCAAUCACAAUCAGACAGCACGCCAGAAAACAGAUGAGAAGGGAUCAAGCACCUCGGUUCCGACGGAGUCGACGGCAUACUCGUAGAAGGUGCGUACGCGGAGGCGCACGGCGGCGCGGAGCUCGUCAAGCGUGACGAACUCGCGCACGGCCACCGCCGCGGGACCGCCACGCU